rnacentral:rRNA from 1 species
UACGUAGGGUGCAAGCGUUGUCCGGAAUUAUUGGGCGUAAAGAGCUCGUAGGCGGUUCGUCGCGUCGGCUGUGAAAUCCCGAGGCUCAACCUCGGGUCUGCAGUCGAUACGGGCGGACUGGAGUUCGGCAGGGGAGACUGGAAUUCCUGGUGUAGCGGUGAAAUGCGCAGAUAUCAGGAGGAACACCGUAGUGCAAGGCGGCUCGCUGGGCCGUAUGACGCUGAGACGACGAAGCGUGGGGAGCAAACAGG